GACGAACGCUGGCGGCGUGCCUAAUACAUGCAAGUAGAACGCUGAAGAGAGGAGCUUGCUCUUCUUGGAUGAGUUGCGAACGGGUGAGUAACGCGUAGGUAACCUGCCUGGUAGCGGGGGAUAACUAUUGGAAACGAUAGCUAAUACCGCAUAAAAUGGAUUAUCGCAUGAUAAUUCAUUGAAAGGUGCAAAUGCAUCACUACCAGAUGGACCUGCGUUGUAUUAGCUAGUUGGUGGGGUAACGGCUCACCAAGGCGACGAUACAUAGCCGACCUGAGAGGGUGAUCGGCCACACUGGGACUGAGACACGGCCCAGACUCCUACGGGAGGCAGCAGUAGGGAAUCUUCGGCAAUGGACGGAAGUCUGACCGAGCAACGCCGCGUGAGUGAAGAAGGUUUUCGGAUCGUAAAGCUCUGUUGUAAGAGAAGAACGAGUGUGAGAGGGAAAGUUCA
rnacentral:rRNA from 1 species